rnacentral:rRNA from 1 species
AUUGAACGCUGGCGGCAUGCCUAACACAUGCAAGUCGAACGGGGCAGCAAUGCCUAGUGGCGGACGGGUGAGGAAUACGUAGGAAUCUGCCCUUAAGUGGGGGAUAACCAGGGGAAACCCUGACUAAUACCGCAUGAUCUCUUCGGAGCAAAGAGGGGGACCGCAAGGCCUCUCGCUUCUGGAUGAGCCUACGUCUGAUUAGCUAGUUGGUAGGGUAAAGGCCUACCAAGGCGACGAUCAGUAACUGGUCUGAGAGGAUGAUCAGUCACACCGGAACUUAGACACGGUUCGGACUCCUACGGGAGGCAGCAGUGGGGAAUAUUGGACAAUGGGCGCAAGCCUGAUCCAGCAAUGCGGCGUGUGUGAAGAAGGUCUUCGGAUUGUAAAGCACUUUAAGUUGGGAGGAAGGGCAGUAAGUUAAUACCUUGCUGUUUUGACGUUACCGACAGAAUAAGCACCGGCUAACUCUGUGCCAGCAGCCGCGGUAACAC